rnacentral:lncRNA from 1 species
UCUGGAGCUCUUCAGGAGGGGCCGAGGGGGGAGCUGCUCGAGGUCACGUCCGUGAACAGGGCAGGGGUGCCCUGGACCCGAGGAGGCUGCUUCCCGUGCCACGUCGUUCUUCCCUCGUCCCAAGCCAUCGCUGUGCCCCCCUGAGAAGCUGUCGCCUGGCCUCCUGGCACGGCCCUGUGACUUGUAAUGAGUUCCAGCUCACAUCCUGGAUGAAUUAUCAUUGGAGGAGUGUGUGCACUCUGAAAAUAAACUGACAGC